ensembl:lncRNA
GCUCCUCCCAAGCAAACAGAAUGCAGAGAAGCCAGCGUUCCCAAGUUCAAGGCCAAGGCAGGGCGGCGGUCCCUGCGGAGGGAACUUCCUUGGGCCAAGGAUCAGCAAAAUCUGGAAGAAUCUGCCUGGAAGCUGAUUUCCCUGGUUUCUGUCCCAGAGGUCAGCUCUCUAUCUGAUCCCAAUACGACAAAACAGGAUGGAUGAAUUCCCCUGAUGUUCUAGGCGCAGGCAAGUGUUUUCCACGGUGUGAGCCUCUCUCCCCUACAGACUUGAUCUCACAACCUUCCCCCUUUCAAAGACAAAUGGUUUAUGAAGCUGCUUCAUACUAAUAUGUGAACAACUGCCUGCUGACUUUAGCCUGCCCUGUGUACUUGACUAUGAACUCCUGGAGCCCAGGGACUGUCUCAUUCCUCUUCGUGGUUGCAGUGCCAAGUACAAGGCUCGGUACAGAGUUGGUGUUGUGUGGAUAAUCUUAAAGAAGACAGAAUAGCAAUAAUGAAUCAUAACAGGAAGUCCCCAAAUCCCAAUCAGAGUGACUCGGGAGAGGACCGGAAGGCGUCAACCAAAUCCCGAUCAAAACUUCUCUCCCGCUCCCACCUGCCUGGUGAAAAUACAGGCGCCCCUGGGACUCCCAGCUUCUGGGCGGGCCUGGAAAGGGCUCAGGGAAGCCAAGCCUUUGCUGGAGGGUAGGGAGCCUCACUUGGGUUUGCCUGAAGCCCCUAUUUUUCAGAGGCCCCCUGUCUGCCCUCCUCGUGGCUCAGGGCCCCUCAGUGAAGGGGCUCACUGUGCACAGGGUUGGUCUCUCCCAUCAGACGGCGCUCCACAAGACCAGGAUCUGUAGUUCACCAGCGGGUCCCCAGGCAGGUAGGUACACAGGGCCUGGUGCUAUUUGCUUCAGGAGCUGGCCCUGGAGCCCAGUGACGCCCAGUUCCAGCUCUCUCAGCAGCCUUAAAGCUGGGAGGAAGAUCGUAACCAGGUUGGCCUUCGCCUAGACUUCUCGUUAAAAGGGAAGCCCGCAGAGAAGGGACACAACCACAGGAUGCAGGUACAUGCAGAGGCUGCCACCAGCCGCUAGCCACAGCCUCCACGCUCAUCUCCAUCACCUGGGUCCUGGCUCCCCUCCUCCAGGAAGCCCUCCCUGGUGCGCCCCACCCACAUUCCCUGUUAUACCUGUCGCUUGGGUUCCAGGAAGCUUGGGGCGGUCACAGCUCUGGGGAGAAGAUGGGAGAGCAAGACUCAGGCUUCUUUAGGUUUCAGAACUGGGCUUUCAGUUCCAGGUCAUGGUUUCUGUCCUCUUCUCCCCUCUUCUCACGAAGAGGCUCUCUCAGUCAUCCUUGCUUUUCUGUCUUUUUCUCCCUUCUUUUCUCUUCUUGCCUCAUUCCCCUCUUCCUUCCAUCUCCCCCUCAUUUCCUUCCUUCACUCCAGCACUUUUUCGUGGAAGACUUGAGUCCACUUUUGCCUUCAGCCCACCUCCAGGCCUCUGGGCGUUCAGACCGGCCCCAGGUCGGCUCACUGGGUUGCGUAGUUCAGUGCCAACCUUGGGCUCUGUGGGCCUUACUCUGGGCUGAGUGUCGGGGCGGAGCGGCCUCAUGGUGACACCCAACAACCCCACCCUCACCACCCACCCUGCUGGGCCAGCGCUGGAAGCAAGACACCGCCACCCCUUCCACCUUCCUCGCUGCAAGUGCAAGAAGAAGUCAGGGGCCAAGGAAAGAGCCCUGGAGUAGGCGUCUCCAUUCCCUGAGUGCGUG